CAUUGUUGAGUCCAUUCACCGAUCCCUCCAGGAAAAAGAGGAAGGUUACUGAUUUGCAUGCACAGACACCUCAGCCCCGUUUUGAUCCAACAAAACCCGUGGCCAUGGACGAUGUGAAGGCUAUCAUACAACUUUGCAGGGCUUGGAAAACUGACAUCAGUGCGGAGCUGGAGCUCGAACCAUUUGAAGUUGGGGCAGAUUUUUUUUACAAACUGUUAGAUGAAACUGCAUGGAUGAGCUCGAGGCACCUUGACAUGGCCAUGUUUCUAAUACGCAAAAGACAACUCUCUCAUCCGCAACUAUUUGGAAGGGAGUGGACAACCGCCGAGUUUUGUCUG